AGGGUUUAUUAUGUCAUCUAAAGGGGAUUUGUGGUGGUUGGGUGGAUUUCUGUGUAUUAUGAAGUGGAAAAUCUCAGCUAUUGAUGGAAAAUCUCCAGAACAUACGAGACCACAGAAACAGGAGUUCUUGAGAGGUAUGGCCAUGGUAGAGGAGGACUUGAGAAUGGCGGUUUGGCAUUCGAAAAGUGACCGAGUAUUACAAAACUACUGUUGGGCGGAUGGACACAGCAUGGGUUGCCAGAUGACCUUGUAACAAUGCGAAACACCCAGGUCUGAUCACCCUGCGGUGUCUUGUGAUAAAGGGCCGAAACACCCAAUGAGGCUGAGGUGCACAACUGACCAUGGCAUCGAUGGGAACCAUACAAAGGGCAUUAUCAGCAGCACCUCACCAAAAGGCCUCUUUCACUCAGGAUAAUGUGAUGACAUUGGGACACACAACUCAUGAGAUGUCUCUCUGGACAAUGGCAA